rnacentral:rRNA from 1 species
CGCCAGACUCCUACGGGAGGCAGCAGUGGGGAAUAUUGCACAAUGGGGGAAACCCUGAUGCAGCGACGCCGCGUGAGUGAAGAAGUAUUUCGGUAUGUAAAGCUCUAUCAGCAGGAACGAGACAAGACGGUACCUGACUAAGAAGCCCCGGCUAACUACGUGCCAGCAGCCGCGGUAAUACGUAGGGGGCAAGCGUUAUCCGGAAUCACUGGGUGUAAAGGGAGCGUAGACGGCUGAGCAAGCCUGAAGUGAAAGGCGGGGGCCCAACCCCGGGACUGCUCUUGGAACUGCAUGGCUGGAGUACAGGAGGGGCAGGCGGAAUUCCUAGUGUAGCGGUGAAAUGCGUAGAUAUUAGGAGGAACACCGGUGGCGAAGGCGGCCUGCUGGACUGUGACUGACGUUGAGGCCCGAAGGCGUGGGGAGCAAACAGGAUUAGAUACCCGCGUAC